rnacentral:tRNA from 1 species
GCCGGGGUGACAGAGCGGUUAUGUGGCGGACUGCAGAUCCGCAUAUGAGGGUUCGACUCCCUCCUCCGGCC